GAAUCCCUGGCAGCAAGGGCCUCUGCCUCCAGGAAUAGACACACAGGUACUUCAUAGCCAUCCUAUCCCAGGUCCAGGAAGAACAUGGAACUUGUUAAACCUGGAGGCAUAACAUCAUGUUAUUACAGAGUGAAAUUGUUACUGAAGUUCAGAUCUUAAUUUUGAAGAACACAUAUAAGAGUUCAGAACUUCCAAGCUACAUUUAUUUCCUACUGCCUGCAGAACUUAUUGGUCUGCUUAUACACUACUUAUACAGACAUAUUUUCAGGUGUAUAGUGUAUUUUGCAAUAAAACUGACUUACAGUUUUU